rnacentral:rRNA from 1 species
AUACGGAGGGUGCAAGCGUUACUCGGAAUCACUGGGCGUAAAGCGCGCGCAGGCGGGCUGAUAAGUUGGAUGUGAAAGCCUACGGCUCAACCGUAGAACUGCAUCCAAAACUGUCAGUCUAGAGUCUGGGAGGGGAAGAUGGAAUUAGUUGUGUAGGGGUAAAAUCCGUAGAGAUAACUAGGAAUACCAAAAGCGAAGGCGAUCUUCUGGAACAGUACUGACGCUGAGGCGCGAAAGCGUGGGGAGCAAACAGGAUUAGGAACCCUAGUAGUCC